CUGGAAUAGAAGGUGUGGGUUGCAAUCAUUGAGAAAUGAAAACUAUAGAGAUGAACUAGAGAGACAAUGGAAUACUGUCCUUUGGCUGAGUCCUGCUGAAACCUGGUGGUGACACACAGAAGCAGGGUGAAUAUUCAAGAAAUACUGUUAAAUCACAAACUACUCAGAUGCAAACACAAGAGUGCAUGCUGGAACUGGCUUAUGAAACACAAGCCAGCUGGCUGCCCUAGAAAAAGUCUGAGGAAAAAGCCUUCUUCAUCUAAUUCAUAAAUGGGAAAUUGAAUUUCCA
rnacentral:lncRNA from 1 species